rnacentral:lncRNA from 1 species
ACCUAGCACAUGAUUUAAUUAGGCUGAUCGCAUUUUCUAAGUUAAUUUAUUUUUACCUAAAGACACCAGAGUAAUUCGUUAAAUAAUUUAUAAGAAUCGGAAUGAACAACAGUGUUUACAUUAGGGAGAUAAAGCAUUCACUUAUUAAAAAAAGUUCAAAGGACAUAAAUCUGUGGUUAACACCAACAUAAAUUAUAUGCAGGUUUAAUGUGCGAUGAAGACUGAAGAACCUCUAACCAGCAUGUGACUCCACCAGAACAUUAAUUUUUUCUGCUUAGUUGUUGGUGUGAACUUUUAAUAAAGAAUGGAACUCCAGACCAAAGGAAGUGAGAAGGUUAAGAGUGGAUGGUGUGCACUGAAGGAGAACUUAGGAAACUGAAGCAGUUUUACAAGAACAAUGAGAAACAAAUUCAACAGAUAAAAUAAACUUGAAUGUGCUUCCUAGAAAAUACACGACCUAUCACUUUCGUUUACAUAAAUCAUCAUUUCUCACUACAUUAUAUGUAACAAUGUAGAGAUUGUCAAAUUCCCUAUUUGCAAGUUAAAAGUUGCACAUAAAAUUGCCUGAAUAAGAAUUUCCCCAAGGUUUCAAGUUUAAUCCGCUAUUGUUGAACCUUAUUUUCUUGCUUAAACUCGGCUCUUGCUUUAAAGUCUAUCUUUCAUCUCUCUCUCCAGCAGACUCAGAUCUAUUCAACCUGCCCACAAAUAUAAGACAGAUGGAAAUAAAUAACCCACUAGAAAAUCCACUUGACGAAAGAAGUCUUUAGGCAGAGAGGAGCUCAAUGAAAGUGGAGCACCUUCUGCUCUUGGAACAUUCCAGUGAAGGAGAAAGGUAAGGGUCCUCCUUCCCCAACAAAGGGGAGGGUACCAUUCCUCACCACUUCAGGUAAGGUAGCCUGAAUAGCUGUUGCUGGAAGUGAAGAUGUUGCCCACAACCAUGUGUCCUUUUCUACAUGACAAAACCAAACUUUUGCAGCAAGUGCCAGUCGGUGAAACAACGCUAUAAUUAUAUCGGUUUCGUACAUAAUGCUACAACCUUCAUCUAGUCUAGGCCAAAGUGUGAAG